UACGUAGGGUGCGAGCGUUGUCCGGAAUUAUUGGGCGUAAAGGGCUCGUAGGCGGUCUGUUGCGUCGGGAGUGAAAACUCAGGGCUUAACCCUGAGCCUGCUUCCGAUACGGGCAGACUAGAGGUAUGCAGGGGAGAACGGAAUUCCUGGUGUAGCGGUGAAAUGCGCAGAUAUCAGGAAGAACACCCGUGGCGAAAGCGGCUCUCUGGGACGGUACUGACGCUGAGACGCGAAAGCGUGGGGAGCGAACAGG
rnacentral:rRNA from 1 species